UACGGGGGGGGCAAGCGUUGUUCGGAAUUACUGGGCGUAAAGGGCUCGUAGGCGGCCAACUAAGUCAUACGUGAAAUCCCUCGGCUUAACCGGGGAACUGCGUCUGAUACUGGAUGGCUUGAGUUCGGGAGAGGGAUGCGGAAUUCCAGGUGUAGCGGUGAAAUGCGUAGAUAUCUGGAGGAACACCGGUGGCGAAGGCGGCAUCCUGGACCAUAACUGACGCUGAGGCGCGAAAGCUAGGGGAGCAAACAGG
rnacentral:rRNA from 1 species